rnacentral:misc_RNA from 1 species
GAUGAAGAACGCAGCGAAAUGCGAUACUUGGUGUGAAUUGCAGAAUCCCGUGAACCAUCGAGUCUUUGAACGCAAGUUGCGCCCGAAGCCAUUAGGCCGAGGGCACGCCUGCCUGGGCGUCACACGUCGUUGCCCCCCCAUCUACUCCUUCGGGAUUGCGGGGGGCGGAUGAUGGCCUCCCGUGCGCUUCGCCGCGCGGUUGGCAUAAAUGCCAAGUCCUCGGCGACGCACGCCACGACAAUCGGUGGUUGCGAAACCUCGGUUGCCCGUCGUGUGCGGUCGUCGCGCAUCGAGGGCUCGAAAAAAUUGCCGGGUUCCGGCUCGGCUUUCAACGCGACCCCAGGUCAGGCGGGGUUACCCGCUGAAUUUAAGCAUAUCAAUAAGCGGAGGA